GCCAGCGUGGUAUAGUGAUUUGUGCAUUCCACUAGGACUAUAGGAGACCAGGGUUUGAAUCCCUGCCUGGCU